GUUGCGAACGGGUGAGUAACGCGUAGGUAACCUGCCUGGUAGCGGGGGAUAACUAUUGGAAACGAUAGCUAAUACCGCAUAAGAGUAGAUGUUGCAUGACAUUUGCUUAAAAGGUGCAAUUGCAUCACUACCAGAUGGACCUGCGUUGUAUUAGCUAGUUGGUGAGGUAACGGCUCACCAAGGCAACGAUACAUAGCCGACCUGAGAGGGUGAUCGGCCACACUGGGACUGAGACACGGCCCAGACUCCUACGGGAGGCAGCAGUAGGGAAUCUUCGGCAAUGGACGGAAGUCUGACCGAGCAACGCCGCGUGAGUGAAGAAGGUUUUCGGAUCGUAAAGCUCUGUUGUAAGAGAAGAACGAGUGUGAGAGUGGAAAGUUCACACUGUGACGGUAUCUUACCAGAAAGGGACGGCUAACUACGUGCCAGCAGCCGCGGUAAUACGUAGGUCCCGAGCGUUGUCCGGAUUUAUUGGGCGUAAAGCGAGCGCAGGCGGUUAGAUAAGUCUGAAGUUAAAGGCUGUGGCUUAACCAUAGUACGCUUUGGAAACUGUUUAACUUGAGUGCAAGAGGGGAGAGUGGAAUUCCAUGUGUAGCGGUGAAAUGCGUAGAUAUAUGGAGGAACACCGGUGGCGAAAGCGGCUCUC
rnacentral:rRNA from 1 species